UCCCUGAUAGCUCAGUUGGUAAAGAAUCUGCCUGCAAUGCAGGAGACCCUGGUUCGAGUCCUGGGUUGGGAA
rnacentral:tRNA from 1 species